UCGGGAACUGGACAGUGGCGGACGGGUGAGUAACACGUGGGAACAUACCUUUUGGUACGGAACAACGCCUGGAAACGGGUGCUAAUACCGUAUACGCCCUUAGGGGGAAAGAUUUAUCGCCGAAAGAUUGGCCCGCGCUAGAUUAGUUAGUUGGUAAGGUAAUGGCUUACCAAGGCUACGAUCUAUAGCUGGUUUGAGAGGAUGAUCAGCCACACUGGGACUGAGACACGGCCCAGACUCC
rnacentral:rRNA from 1 species